rnacentral:rRNA from 1 species
AACGCACCUUGCGCUCCUUGGUAUUCCGAGGAGCAUGCCUGUUUGAGUGUCGUGAAGUCUUCAACUUUGUCUCGCUUUGAAAAUUGCGAGGCGAGGCUUGGAUUUGGGGGUUGUUGGCCUCUUGCCUCCCUUGCCGGGGGCUUGAGGGGGGUCGACUCCUCUGGAAUGCAUUAGCUCGAGGUUGGCUUCGGGCGGUCCGUGGCGUGAUAGGUUUUUGUUACGUCUCGAUAAUUCCGUCUCGGAGCCGUGUGGCUUCGGCUUCGAAUCGUCCCUCUUGGGGGACUGACUCCAUCUUGAAUCUGACCUCAAAUCAGGCAGGACUACCCGCUGAACUUAA